rnacentral:lncRNA from 1 species
GAGAACUAAGUCCCAAGCCCUUAAAAUUGUCUCUGAGACCAACCCCUACCCCCAAAGACCCAUCUCAAAACUCACCCCUCCCCCAUCUCUCUCCACCACAUACCGCUGCUGGAAAUUGCCCACGGCAGCGGCCCGUCUCCAAUCACAUUCAUUAAAAGGGCAGAAGAGAAAUCUGGGCAUUAUGGGAGAAAAUUGAUACACUCCUUCAUUUUUCCAUUCUUAGACUCUAAGCUUUGAGGAUUAGCUAAAAUCUGAAGUCUUCUCUUGCAUUAUCUUUCGGCAUUGUCCUUUAUUUGAUCAUUAUUGGCUUUUGCUUUUGUUAGGUACGUCAAAAAUCCAGUUGUAGUUCCCUUUUUAUGUAGAAAUAAUAAAGAUGCCUGAUUAUGUCUGCUUUCUGCCUUGUUUCAUUUAAUCUGGACAUUUCUUUCUUUGCUAAAUAUUCGAUUCUCGCUCCUGUUUCUUGAAUUCAAUGUUUAAGUCUAUUUGUUGAUUAGCUAUUUGAAAUGAAUAUUUUCAUACUCGGAGAUUCUAUAACUCUAUUUGAUUGCUGGAGUUAGUAUCCUCAUGAGAAUGAGGUAUAAAUCUUGUUUACUAUUGAUGCCUUUAACCUAUGAGGAUGGAGUUUAAGCAUGGAAUUCAAGAUGAAACCAGAUGCAUGAAGAGUCAUUAAGUCAAUUGUUUAAAUGUUGUUGUUUAUCUUAGUCUUAAGAGUAGAGAAAUUCAGUACAUAGAAACAUUCAGCAAUAUAAAUAGAUUUGAAUCUUGAUUU